GAAGACGUUCCGAUGUUCCGUUAAGUGAAUUGCAGUUCCACGCCAAAUGCAACCUUCUAAAGAUGCUGCCGUUCGUACAAUAACAGUUGGUUGGCGGGUGGCGGCAAGCAGCAUCCGGAGCACCAUCUGUGAAAGAGGAGCAACCCAGUUGCCGGGCCGUUGCCCGUAUGACUCGGCCAAGGGCGUGCCGCGCGAGGAAACAUCCCGCAAAAUCUGCCAUCAUCGACGACGAAGAUAACGCAUAACGGGGACAGACGAAGGGUGCUUCCAACACCGACGUCGACGGGAUUGCCAAAUACCUCCUCCGGUUAUCGGAACGCGAGUUUGGCAGCGACUGCCGUUGGUGCAGCUUAUCCGACGAAAGCAACUAUCAAGGUGCGAGCAUAUAGCAAGCUGGAGGGGUAACCAAAAUGUCCCAGUCAAAAAACUCGAUAUUUUUCGGCAACGAAUAUGUUGGUUUCGGAACCUGGCGGACCGAGGAAUUCUAUCGAACCCGAACCGAUUAAGACUCUACCACCAAAGCGCUCUUGGUUUAAAACUUCGUUCGAUCAAUUGUUGCUCCAGCAGCUGCUCCUUCAGUGCCUUCAUUUUUCCCAGAGGCAGGUGAUGCGCAUCCUAAGCAACCAGCACCCGGCCACCAGCUGCAAUUGAACCUCAUCAACCUGAUUUCACAAAAUAAACGCGUCAGCGAGCCACUCGAAGUCGAUUAUCCAUUAUGGCCACUAUAAAGCUGGUAAAGGUGGAACUUCCUGUAUCGAUAAAGCCGCCCGGUAGCACAGCACAUAGGAAAACGUCUAAAGCUUCGUAACGUUCAGGAGGUUCCGGAUUCUAAGGCAUUUCUGAUGACCAAGCAGACCAAGCUGGAGCAGAACAGGAUUGAAUCAAAAACAUGCAACCUACAUGUUCAAGACGGUUUUCGUGCAUAGCUUUUUGAACACUUUGUCGGGAGGAGUCAAUUCAAAUAAAUAAAACUAAAUUGCUUCCCGCAACGUUUUUUUUUUUGCAUUUUAUAGAUAAAUCUUCUGUGCAAUUGAAAAUGAAAGCAAUGAAAUAAAAUUUAUUGAGAAAAAAACAACGGAAUUAUUUACGAUUGAUUCGUUUGACUUUUCACUUUUACCACCACCACCUCGUGGUAAUUACAUGAAAAGAGCCUAACACUAGUUUUUCAAACCAAUAUGCAUUUUCGCUUCACUAGAGGAAGUUUUGAUAUAGCCACACAACUAGCUGAAGCAGAAGUAAGGUAAAAGCUCAGAUAUAUAUUUAAUACAUCUAUUAUUGGCCUUGGUUUUCAUGGAUAAGUUAAAAAAUUGUAAUAAAAAUUAAACGUAUUUGUUCGUGAAAAAUCAUGACUGCAGUUAGACCCUUUUCACAUGCUGUACUGGUCUUGUUUUUGCACAUCCACAUUCUAUCUAUUCACAUCUCCAUCUAUCUCAAGCAGCGCUCGGCAGGUUUUGAAAGUAGAUGCAGCGAAAAGUAGAUAGACAAAUCUAACAGUUGCACAUUAAUCUAAAAGAAUAGAUGCAUC